rnacentral:lncRNA from 1 species
ACUUGCAUAAGUCACAAAGCUAGUUCAUGACCGAGCUAGAAUUGGAAUCUUGGCCAGGUAAUUCCAGAUGUUUCACUCUUAACCAUUCUAUAGAAUCAGCACCCAUCUUUGAGUCAGAGUUUGAGAUGCAAAUCCUUUACUGUAUAGCCUUGAUCAAAUGACUUCACCUCAUUGAAUUAAUCUUCUUCUGCAUAAAAUGGGGUCACCAUCUGCUUAUCUAAAUUGUUACAAAUGGGACAGUAUAUGUGCCAUUCCAGAUACCUAAUCACAGCUCAAUCGAUGCUGGUGUCUUUUUCCUUUUUCCUUCUGCAGAAAACAUGCUUUACAUAGGAUCUCUGAACUUAAAGAAUGGGAAGAAGAAAAAUCAUGUUUCCAGCUUGGGCUGCUGUUUCAUCUGUUGGACUUGCUUAAAGCGUAUGGGUUUGUUUACCCUUCCUGCAGGCAUCCAACCUGGCCUUUUAUUCCUGCUCAAGUAGGACAUGCAGCCUGCUGGGGACCCGUGGCUCAAAUCCUCCAACUGCAGGACUGCCGGCCCUGGGACUCAUGAAUAAUGGAAGUGCAGUAACCACUCCUUACAGCCCAGACGACUUUCCAGGAGCAGGCUGUACCCCGAAAGUAAACAAGGAACAAGGGGCAAGGAGACAGAGAGAGAUGGGGAAAUGAUCCCUGAAUGGAAAGGAAUGCUAUGCACACUUUUUGGAUACAGGAAGUGAGAUUCAGAGGGGUUAAACAGCUUUCCUAAAGCCACACAGCGAGAGAGUCGAUCUGAACUGAAGAUUGUUUGACAUCAAAGCUCAUUUCUUUCCCUAAAUGUCAGCAUUCUUUCCUGACUUAUUAAUUUGAUUUCUGUCCUCCCCUCAUGGAAGUUAAUUAAAGGAAUGCGAGAACCUUUUAGAA